rnacentral:rRNA from 1 species
GACGAACGCUGGCGGCGUGCCUAAUACAUGCAAGUAGAACGCUGAAGGAGGAGCUUGCUCUUCUGGAUGAGUUGCGAACGGGUGAGUAACGCGUAGGUAACCUGCCUGGUAGCGGGGGAUAACUAUUGGAAACGAUAGCUAAUACCGCAUAACAGUAGAUGUUGCAUGACAUUUACUUAAAAGGUGCAAUUGCAUCACUACCAGAUGGACCUGCGUUGUAUUAGCUAGUUGGUGGGGUAACGGCUCACCAAGGCGACGAUACAUAGCCGACCUGAGAGGGGGAUCGGCCACACUGGGACUGAGACACGGCCCAGACUCCUACGGGAGGCAGCAGUAGGGAAUCUUCGGCAAUGGACGGAAGUCUGACCGAGCAACGCCGCGUGAGUGAAGAAGGUUUUCGGAUCGUAAAGCUCUGUUGUAAGAGAAGAACGAGUGUGAGAGUGGAAAGUUCACACUGUGACGGUAUCUUACCAGAAAAGGACGGCUAACUACGUG